UACGAAGGGGGCUAGCGUUGUUCGGAUUUACUGGGCGUGAAGCGCACGUAGGCGGAUCGUUAAGUCGGGGGUGAAAUCCUGGGGCUCAACCCCAGAACUGCCUUCGAUACUGGCGAUCUCGAGUCCGGAAGAGGUGAGUGGAACUCCUAGUGUAGAGGUGGAAUUCGUAGAUAUCGAGAGGAACACCUGCGGCGAAGGCGGCUCACUGGUCCAUUACUGACGCUGAGGUGCGAAAGCGUGGGGAGCAAACAGGG
rnacentral:rRNA from 1 species